UACGUAGGGUGCAAGCGUUGUCCGGAAUUAUUGGGCGUAAAGAACUCGUAGGCGGUUUGUUGCGUCGGCUGUGAAAUCCCGAGGCUCAACCUCGGGUCUGCAGUCGAUACGAGCAAACUAGAGUGUUGCAGGGGAGACUGGAAUUCCUGGUGUAGCGGUGAAAUGCGCAGAUAUCGUAAGGAAGACCAGUGGCGAAGGCGGAUCUCUGGACAGUUACUGACACUGAGGCACGAAGGCCAGGGGAGCAAACGGG
rnacentral:rRNA from 1 species